AAAACACUUAUAAUUCAUUUCCAAUCUAUCCGUCUUUCAUUUUUGUCGAAAACUAAACGAAAUGUCCUCAUUCUCCCUCCCAUACAAUUCCUCAAAUUGACAUUUACUCUUACCAGUCAAUCUGGUAAGUUGGCCGGCCGCCAAUGCGC
ensembl:ncRNA B0001.11 ncRNA